rnacentral:rRNA from 1 species
AACGAACGCUGGCGGCAUGCCUAACACAUGCAAGUCGAACGAGACCUUCGGGUCUAGUGGCGCACGGGUGCGUAACGCGUGGGAACCUGCCCUUAGGUUCGGAAUAACUCCCCGAAAGGGGUGCUAAUACCGGAUAAUGUCUUCGGACCAAAGAUUUAUCGCCUUUGGAUGGGCCCGCGUUGGAUUAGCUAGUUGGUAGGGUAAAAGCCUACCAAGGCGACGAUCCAUAGCUGGUCGGGGAGCAUGAUCAGCCACACUGGGACUGAGACACGGCCCAGACUCCUACGGGAGGCAGCAGUGGGGAAUAUUGGACGAUGGGCGAAAGCGUGAUCCAGCAAUGCCGCGUGAGUGAUGAAGGCCUUAGGGUUGUAAAGCUCUUUUACCCGGGAUGAUAAUGACGGUACCGGGAGAAUAAGCUCCGGCUAACUCCGUG